UUAUUUAUUUUAUUCUUAAAUUUAAAAAGUUCUAAUAAUUUAUAUGAAACCGUAGCAAAAAAAGUUACAAUUAUGUUUAUGAAAUUUUAAUUAUAACAUAAUCUUAAUUAAACAUGUUAUGUAUAAAAAAUAAGAAGAUAAAACCGAAAAAACAAAAGAAAACAAAAAAUAUAUAUAUGUCUAAAUGAAAAAAAAAUAAGUAAAGGAUACAACGAAAACAAAAUAGAACAAGUCAAACAAAAAUAGACCAUUUAAGAAAAGGAAGUAAAAUAAGAGAGAUGAGAGAGAAAAUAAUUUAGUUUGAAACAUUAAAUUUUAAUAUCUUUGUUAUCUUAAAUCUAUUUUAUACCUAUUAUAUAUCAAAUCAAACCUAAUCUCAUGAUCUUUAAUUUGAUAUGCAUAUUAAAUAUUUUAUCGUUACUCAAAUUACACGAUUUAAAAAAAAAGGAAAAGUAAAAAAUAAUAAAAGAAAAAAAGAAAAAGAAUUUUAUUUUGAAAGAAAAAACUGCUCUUUGAUCGAAAAAUGUUGUAGAAAUGAGUUAGUUUAGAAAGUAAUUAUAAUUUUAAAUUAUAGCAAAAAAAAAUAACCUUUAAAACUUUACAUAUAUAUACUUAACUUUUAUUAAAAUUCGUAUCGCCCAUUGAAGCAGUGACAAACCAAAAUACC
rnacentral:lncRNA from 1 species